rnacentral:rRNA from 1 species
CCUACGGGAGGCAGCAGUGGGGAAUCUUGCGCAAUGGGCGAAAGCCUGACGCAGCCAUGCCGCGUGAAUGAUGAAGGUCUUAGGAUUGUAAAAUUCUUUCACCGGGGACGAUAAUGACGGUACCCGGAGAAGAAGCCCCGGCUAACUUCGUGCCAGCAGCCGCGGUAAUACGAAGGGGGCUAGCGUUGCUCGGAAUUACUGGGCGUAAAGGGAGCGUAGGCGGAUAGUUUAGUCAGAGGUGAAAGCCCAGGGCUCAACCUUGGAAUUGCCUUUGAUACUGGCUAUCUUGAGUGUGGGAGAGGUAUGUGGAACUCCGAGUGUAGAGGUGAAAUUCGUAGAUAUUCGGAAGAACACCAGUGGCGAAGGCGACAUACUGGCCCAUUACUGACGCUGAGGCUCGAAAGCGUGGGGAGCAAACAGGAUUAGAUACCCUGGUAGUCCACGCUGUAAACGAUGAGUGCUAGUUGUCGGCAGGCAUGCCUGUCGGUGACGCAGCUAACGCAUUAAGCACUCCGCCUGGGGAGUACGGUCGCAAGAUUAAAACUUACGAAAGUAGUAGACGNGNGAGAGCGACGACGACGACGACGGAGGAGGAG